rnacentral:rRNA from 1 species
ASGAUUCCCCCAGUAACUGCGAGUGAAGAGGGAAGAGCUCAAAUUUAGAAUCUGGCAGUCUUUGGCUGUCCGAGUUGUAAAUUAGAGAAGUGUUAUCCGCGCUGGACUGUGCAUAAGUCUCUUGGAAAAGGGCAUCAUAGAGGGUGAGAAUCCCGUCUUUGACACGGACUGCCAGUGCUUUGUGAUGCGCUCUCAAAGAGUCGAGUUGUUUGGGAAUGCAGCUCAAAAUGGGUGGUAAAUUCCGUCUAAAGCUAAAUAUUGGCGAGAGACCGAUAGCGAACAAGUACCGUGAGGGAAAGAUGAAAAGCACUUUGGAAAGAGAGUUAAACAGUACGUGAAAUUGCUGAAAGGGAAACGCUUGAAGUCAGUCGCGUUGAUCAGAACUCAGCCUUGCUUCUGCUUGGUGCAUUUUCUGUUCAACGGGCCAGCAUCAAUUUUGACCAUUGGAAAAAGGUCUCGGGAAUGUGGCAUCUUCGGAUGUGUUAUAGCCCUUGGCUGCAUACAAUGGUUGGGAUUGAGGAUCUCAGCACGCCUUUAUGGUCGGGGUUCGCCCACGUUCGUGCUUAGGAUGCUGGCGUAAU